rnacentral:rRNA from 1 species
CCUACGGGUGGCAGCAGUGAGGAAUAUUGGUCAAUGGGCGAGAGCCUGAACCAGCCAAGCCGCGUGAGGGAAUAAGGUCCAGCGUAUCGUAAACCUCUUUUGUCAGGGAACAAAGGCGGGGACUAGUCCCCGGCUGAGGUUACCUGAAGAAAAAGCAUCGCCUAACUCCGUGCCAGAAGCGGCGGUAAUACGGAGGAUGCGAGCGUUAGCCGGAUUUAUUGGGUUUAAAGGGUGCGCAGGCGGUCUGUUAAGUAAGCGGUAAAAGCCCGGGGCUAAACCCCGACGAGCCGUUGAAACUGGCGGGCUGGAGUUUGCGAGAAGUACGCGGAAUGCGCGGGGUAGCGGUGAAAUGCUUAGAGAUCGCGCAGAACCCCGAUUGCGAAGGCAGCAUACCGGCUCCACACUGACGCUGAGGCACGAAAGCGUGGGUAUCGAACAGGAUUAGAUACCCUAGUAGUC